UUUCACAAACCUUAGUUUAUUUCUUUGUGAAACAUUAAAGUGUACUUCUUUGUGGACUAACUUAUGAUCUUAACCAAAACAAGAGAAAACCCUCAGAAAACUAAGCAGCCAUAAAAAAAUUACUUUAGUAAUAUUUCAAGCAUCUUCAGGCUAAUUUGCAAAUCAGAUCGAUAUACAAUCAUAUAUACAUAGUUUACAGUGACAAAUACAGUUUCUGGUGUAAUACUCACCAACAUCAUGAGGAUCUUGUGCUUUUUUGUACUUUUAGCGUCUCUCUCCACAAUCUUCUGCCAAGAUGUGUGGAAACUCUGUCAGGAAUUGAGAAAAAAUUCAUAUAACACUCUAGUUCGCUCGCCUCGAAAUUGCAGCAUAUUCUUCAAUUGUUACGCUGGUUUAGCGAUUCCAUUUCCAAUCGUCUGUAAUAAUGGUCUUGUAUUUUCACAAGCAUACCAAACCUGUGUCUUUAAAAGCAGUCGGUUCAAUGAUUGUAACCAGGCAGUCUAUGGAGGCCGUUACAAUGACCCCCUGUGCAAUUCUUAUCCUUUCGGCCUCAAUCGUGACCCUGCAAAUUGCAGAAAGUUCAUUCCCUGUUUCAAUCACACAUCAUUCCCAUCUAUGGCCUGCCAGGAUAACUUAAUUUUCAAUGUGCAGCUGCAACGUUGUACAACUCUGGGCACCACAGCUUGCAAUCAAAAUAACCCAACCAAUAACAACAAUAAUGUUUAAACGUUUUAAGUAAUAGAAAUAACCAAAGAUUUAUGGAGGAAACAAUUGAAAGAUGGAAGAAAAUGGACUGGAAUAUUGACAUUUCUUUUUAAAUAACUUUCAUCCAUUUAAUCUCAAAAGAAUUCUAAAUAACCGAAAUCUAAAUUCUACAAAGAAACAAUAAAAUAUAAUAAAUGUAGUGUGUAAAUUGGAUAUUGUCCCAUUUGAUAUUAAAGUUAUAAGUCUGAUA
rnacentral:lncRNA from 1 species